rnacentral:rRNA from 1 species
GAUGAACGCUAGCUACAGGCUUAACACAUGCAAGUCGAGGGAACGACAUCGAAAGCUUGCUUUGGUGGGUGUCGACCGGCGCACGGGUGAGUAACGCGUAUCCAACCUGCCCACCACUUGGGGAUAACCUUGCGAAAGUAAGACUAAUACCCAAUGAUAUCCCACGAAGGCAUCCGAAUGGGAUUAAAGAUUUAUCGGUGAUGGAUGGGGAUGCGUCUGAUUAGCUUGUUGGCGGGGUAACGGCCCACCAAGGCAACGAUCAGUAGGGGUUCUGAGAGGAAGGUCCCCCCACAUUGGAACUGAGACACGGUCCAAACUCCUACGGGAGGCAGCAGUGAGGAAUAUUGGUCAAUGGGCGAGAGCCUGAACCAGCCAAGUAGCGUGCAGGACGACGGCCCUAUGGGUUGUAAACUGCUUUUAUAAGGGAAUAAAGUGGGUCACGUGUGACUUUUUGCAUGUACCUUAUGAAUAAGGACCGGCUAAUUCCGUG